CAGGCUUAACACAUGCAAGUCGAGGGGCAGCAUGGUCUUAGCUUGCUAAGGCCGAUGGCGACCGGCGCACGGGUGAGUAACACGUAUCCAACCUGCCGUCUACUCUUGGACAGCCUUCUGAAAGGAAGAUUAAUACAAGAUGGCAUCAUGAGUCCACAUGUUCACAUGAUUAAAGGUAUUCCGGUAGACGAUGGGGAUGCGUUCCAUUAGAUAGUAGGCGGGGUAACGGCCCACCUAGUCUUCGAUGGAUAGGGGUUCUGAGAGGAAGGUCCCCCACAUUGGAACUGAGACACGGUCCAAACUCCUACGGGAGGCAGCAGUGAGGAAUAUUGGUCAAUGGGCGAGAGCCUGAACCAGCCAAGUAGCGUGAAGGAUGACUGCCCUAUGGGUUGUAAACUUCUUUUAUAAAGGAAUAAAGUCGGGUAUGCAUACCCGUUUGCAUGUACUUUAUGAAUAAGGAUCGGCUAACUCCGUGCCAGCAGCCGCGGUAAUACGGAGGAUCCGAGCGUUAUCCGGAUUUAUUGGGUUUAAAGGGAGCGUAGAUGGAUGUUUAAGUCAGUUGUGAAAGUUUGCGGCUCAACCGUAAAAUUGCAGUUGAUACUGGAUAUCUUGAGUGCAGUUGAGGCAGGCGGAAUUCGCGGUGUAGCGGUGAAAUGCUUAGAUAUCACGAAGAACUCCGAUUGCGAAGGCAGCCUGCUAAGCUGCAACUGACAUUGAGGCUCGAAAGUGUGGGUAUCAAACAGGAUUAGAUACCCUGGUAGUCCACACGGUAAACGAUGAAUACUCGCUGUUUGCGAUAUACAGCAAGCGGCCAAGCGAAAGCGUUAAGUAUUCCACCUGGGGAGUACGCCGGCAACGGUGAAACUCAAAGGAAUUGACGGGGGCCCGCACAAGCGGAGGAACAUGUGGUUUAAUUCGAUGAUACGCGAGGAACCUUACCCGGGCUUAAAUUGCAGAUGAAUUACGGUGAAAGCCGUAAGCCGCAAGGCAUCUGUGAAGGUGCUGCAUGGUUGUCGUCAGCUCGUGCCGUGAGGUGUCGGCUUAAGUGCCAUAACGAGCGCAACCCUUGUUGUCAGUUACUAACAGGUCAUGCUGAGGACUCUGACAAGACUGCCAUCGUAAGAUGUGAGGAAGGUGGGGAUGACGUCAAAUCAGCACGGCCCUUACGUCCGGGGCUACACACGUGUUACAAUGGGGGGUACAGAGGGCCGCUACCACGCGAGUGGAUGCCAAUCCCAAAAACCUCUCUCAGUUCGGACUAGAGUCUGCAACCCGACUCCACGAAGCUGGAUUCGCUAGUAAUCGCGCAUCAGCCACGGCGCGGUGAAUACGUUCCCGGGCCUUGUACACACCGCCCGUCAAGCCAUGGGAGCCGGGGGUACCUGAAGUGCGUAACCGCGAGGAGCGCCCUAGGGUAAAACUGGUGACUGGGGCUAAGUCGUA
rnacentral:rRNA from 1 species